GAGAUGCAUUUUUAUAAACAUUGGUUGGAGAACUGCAUUCUGAAAAGUGCAGUUUUUGAAGAAGUGUGAAAUCCAAAGCAUAAGAAUGUUCCUACUAGACAUUAGUUUGGGAGAUGUGGAUCACGUCAGUUCAUUUUGGAAUUUGCAAAGAACAAAUCCCUUAAGCAUCCUUCACCAUUUCUAAAGUUGCAGUGAUGUAUAGUGGAGAGAAUGCCAGACUGUGAAGGAAGAAACCAGAAUUCAAUUCCAGGAGAAUCAACAGGGUUUGCAUUGAAGGGUCACCAUGAGCUCAAAAUACUUCAGAAUGCCUGGACUCCCAGGGAAAACAGAAGCACAUCAGAUGUCCUCACUGCAGAAAACGCAGCUAAUGCAUUUAAAAGAAAAAUGUCCCACCCGAGUGCAACUCCUCUCAUUCAUCUCCAUGCUAAGUUAGACAACCCAAGGCAGCAACCUUUUACGCUUGCCGUCCUGCCGAGCAAGA